ACCCUGGAGGACUAGUGGUUAAGCCAUGGCACGCUCACCGCCAUGGCCCGGGUUCGAUUUCUGCCCAGGGAA